rnacentral:lncRNA from 1 species
AGUCUUGUUUAAAAGCUCACUUUUCAGUGGAAGAACUUCAGGAGCGAAUCAAGAUAUCUGAAAGCCGUGCCAAAGGCAUUCUUGACUUUUGCAAAGUCUCUGCCACUGUAUGACUGAGGAGCCGAGGAUGUCUAUUUUUUCUGCUGUACUGUACCAUAAACCGUUUUUUUUUUUUGUAGAAUCCUAGUGUAUAGACGUAUAUAUGUGUGUGUUUGUGUUGACUUCGGAAUGACGUGUUGUAAAUUAAGACUGCUCCAGAUAAGUCCCACUUCACGUCUCUCAAGUUGCUGACUUGGGAAAGUCAUUUGGAAGUCGGGGUUGAAUGUGAUAUGUUUCAGGACUCACACAAGCCCAUAACCGGCUUGCACGUGUAGUUUUGUUUGUGACUGAUGUGACAUACUCACACAAGCCAUGGACCAAUGUCGGCAUUACACUUGAACAGUUUCUAAUCAUGCAAAAUGUGAUAUAAAGGAUGAGUGAUGUUGUUUUACAUACAAAGCCAGUAGUAUUGUUUAAAGUUUGUAGGAUAUAGCAAGGCCUUGUGUGCCAAAAGCCUAUGCAUCAAAUAUUCAGGCUGUACAGCACCCAGGAAAGAGUAGAAUUAUAUUUCCGUGAGCUGUUAUUGUUUUCAUACAUUG